GCAUACAUAGUUAAAUGUGGCAAACAUCUGAAAAUAUUUUAUCCCAAUUUAAUUCUUGUAACAUGUUUCAGUUUAGUAGCUGAAGUUAGAUCCGAAAUCAAGAUGUCAAUGGUUUAAUUUUCAACGUAAAGAAAGUAUUUCUUAAAGCUCAUUUGAGAAUCCAAGCCUACCGGGAAGCCUUAACGGAUUGUCCAUUGCCUCCAGAACCUGUUCUGACAAGAUUGAAGCGGCAUCAUAUUAUUGCUAUUAUUUUGAGGAUAUAAAAAGGUUAUAAUGGUCUGUGGAUCUAGUAGAGCAAUUUAUAAACGAUUGGAAGAUAUCCAGGGAAGAGUAAGUGAAAUGUCAUUUAAAAAGCUGGAAGAUACUUUACGAACAUAUUCCCGGUACCAAGAGCUUAAACUUGUCAGCGAUGUAUUACACGGUGAAAAUGUAGAAAAAGAUUUAAAAAAGAAGCCCACUGAAAUUUCUUCUCAAGGUAUAAA